rnacentral:snoRNA from 13 species
AUUGUCCCUAGAGGAGUUGCAGAUGUGGCCGUUGUGUCACAUUUGUGUCAUUAGGUGGCAGAGAGAAAAAAGGCCAUGUAUACAUUCAGUGUUCUGACCUAUGAAUGUUUGAAUGAUUAAUAGUCUGACACA